rnacentral:lncRNA from 1 species
GGACGGUGCGGAAGGCCCAGGGCUCCAGCAGGCAGAAGACACCUUAUUCCCACAGCAAGGUCACAGCCAGCAGAGGUUUUCCUAAGGAUUCUCUGCGGUUUGACCACCUCCGCCCACCCCCGCAACCCCAUCCAAUCCGGGAAAAACAAGGGCAAGUAUAGCGAGUCCAGCUUCAGGCCCAGGAAAAGUCACUGACAUCUGCACCCAUUGCACAAUGAUCUUUACACGCAGCACGCUCAAGAGGAAACUUCGAGAGAAGGAAUGUUACCUGCCAUUCCAGUAAACAAAGACUGCUGCCUAUCUUUCCAGUAAGUGGGGAUGGAGCCAUCACCCCCUGCAGCCACAGCCCCACCCCCAGGGUGCAGGCCGAGGGGAGCGUACAGAAAAGGGAGGCUUUCUGUGCUCCAGGCACCGGCCCCAGAGUUAGGAUGCGUAUCUAAGGAAUAACGUUCAAUGAGCCCAGAUUCUUGCAUCUUCUCCAAGAGAGAAAAGCUCUAAAAUCAUGAACUGGAGGGGUCUGUUUUUGUGACGAGCAGUCAUCUUUGAUGUUCAACUACAUUUUUUUUAACAAAAGCUCCCCUAUAUCCUGACUCCUCCCCUAACUCUUUGGAGCGGUUCCUCAGAGCGAUCUGAGAGGCUGUCUCCCGGCUUAGGUCCUCAGUAAGGUCCCCAAAUAAAAUUGAACUUGCAGCUUUCAGGUUGUGUGUUUUCCUUCAGCCCACCGUUCUGGACAUCAACAAAGGGACCCAGAGCCAACGUCCGUCCUCGCUUGAACUCUACCAGGAUCUGCAGCCGUGGUACCAGCAGGGCCCCCUUGGGUCCCACCGCCUCCGCAGAGGGUCCAGAGGAAUUUAGCUGCAUCUCUUCUGGUCUUGGAUUUCCCGUUAUUGGCUGAUGAUCCUAAGUUUUAUUUGGUAGUGGGUAACGUCCUCAUUGGAGGUGGAGGUUUUCCUUGAACUUAGUUUCUAGAAGCCGGACCUGGGUCACCCAGAUGAACAACACUGGGAAGAUUUUGCUCAGGAGAAAAACACUGGUGUGGAAUCCUUCAAAUUAGAGAGGCUUCUAAAUUGGUAAAUUUUUAGAGAGGUCUCAUUAUAAACAGGUAUUUUAUUUGUACCUAUGAAAAGACCAAAGUAGAAGGUGGAUACAAAAAAAUAUAACAGCUAAAUUUAUUUAGAACUCCCUUAGUUUAAAAUAAAUAAACAAUAGCAACAAAAAUGGUUUGGGACGCUACAUUUGUAGUCUCAGUUUCCCCUCAGUGGGUCUUAGAGAUGCUAAUAAAAACAUUAGAUCAGGAGUUCCCUUGCGGUGAAGUGGGUUAAGGAUCCUGCACUGUCGCUCUGUGGCUCAGGUCACUGCUGUGGUGUGGGUUUGAGCCCUGCUGCAGGUGAGGCCAAAAAAACAAACCAAAAAAAAAAAACCCAUUAGAUCAGUUGUCAAUUAGGUUAAUUAACAGGUGAACUAGAAAAAAAAAAACUAAAGGGAAAGUCUAGAGACUUCUUCCCAAAAGAGGGUAAUUUUUAUUUUCUUUUUGCAUUUAGAAAUUCCCAGGCUAGGGGUUGAAUCAGAGCUACAUCUGCCACCCUGUGUAUGCCACAUCCACAGCAACGCUGGAUCCCCAAAACACUGAGUGAAGCCAGGGGUUGAACCUGCAUCCUCAUGGAUACUGGUCAGAUUCAUUUCCACUGUGCCACAAUGGGAACUCUCAAAAAGCCGGCUAUUUUAAAGAGACUUGUCCCACAAGGAUAAAAAUCUUGAGGUGGUUAAGAAAUAGGAUAGAUAAAACAGAUAUUAAUGGAGUUAAAACAAAAGUUUUGAUACAAUACUACCUAAGGUUGGCUGGUCAAAGGGGGACCCUCUACAAUUUCCCAAUAUUAAAGAACCGCAAACAAGUCCACCCUAUUUACCCCAGUUUAAAGUACAUACAUACUUAAAGACUGCUAGGGAGUUCCCGUCAUGGCUCAGUGGUUAAUGAAUAAGACUGGGAACCAUGAGGUUGUGUGUUCGAUCCCUGGCCUCGCUCAGUGGGUUAAGGAUGUGGCGUUGCCACGAGCUGUGGUUUAGGUCCCAGACAUGGCUCGGAUCCCUCAUUGUUGUGGCUGUGGUGUAGGCCGGCGGCUACAGCUCAAAUUCACCCCCUAGCCUGGGAUCCUGCAUAUGCCAAGGGAGAGGCCCUAGAAAAGGGAAAAAGACAAAAAAAAAAAAAGGCUGCUGGAAAAUUUCACUGAGAUACCUGAGCAGCAACUGCUUGGGGCAACAGGCCAGUUAAUCAAAUUAAAAAAUUGAGAAAAAGUCCUGAAUCCCUUGGCUUAUUAACCACUCCUUGGGGACCCCAAAACCUUUUAUGCAAAAGUGCAUUAAAUGGAGGUCCCCUUGUGGUGCAGCGGAAACAAAUGUGACCGGUAUCCAUGACAAUGCCUGUUCAAUCCCUGGCCUCGCUCAAUGGGUCGGGGAUCCAGCAUUGUUAUGGCUGCGGCUGUGGUGUAGGCUGGCAGCUGCAGCUCCGAUUCUGCCCCUUGCCUGGGAACCUCCAUAUGCCUCGGGUGUGAAAAAAGGAAAAAGAAAAAAAGAUUUCUCAGACUCCCUGUAACAUCAAGAUUGGUUGAUGAGAUCCCAACAGAGGCUAAAGUUAAAGGUAUAACAGCUAACAGAAUUGAGAUGAAAAUUUAUAAAAAUUGAUAUAUUUGAAUGGGUUUUAUAUAAGAUGGUAACCUCUCUUUCACCAAUUACAUCAUGGGAUGAGCAUGUGGUCUCACUGGGGAAUGCUUCCCCUGCCUGGUAUAAGACAGGGCACAUAGGAGUUCCCGUCCUGGCGCAGUGGUUAACGAAUUCUACUAGGAACCAUGAGGUUGCGGGUUCGGUCCCUGCCCUUGCUCAGUGGGUUAACGAUCCGGCGUUGCCGUGAGCUGUGGUGUAGGUUGCAGACGCGGCUCGGAUCCCACGUUGCUGUGGCUCUGGCAUAGGCAGGCAGCUACAGCUCCGAUUAGACCCCUAGCCUGGCAACCUCCAUAUGCCGCGGGAGCGGCCCAAAAAAUAGCAAAAAGACAAAAAAAAAAAAAAAAAGACAGGGCACAUAAAUCUGCUCCUCGGGCAAUAGUGACUAAACUUACCAAGGGAUAUCAAUAGGGUUACCUGAGCCCACACAAUAAGAAAUAAAACUGGGAGCUAAUAUUCAGGGGCCAAUACAAACAAUAAUGGACAUUUUUUGCCCCUAGGGUUAAUGGGUUUAAUUUACACUCAGAAAGAGGGCCUUUGUUGAAUGCCUUGUGCAAACUUCUAAAGGCAUGAUAAACUGAAUCCUAAAGUUCUAGAACAUAUAACUCUUUAUUCCAGUGUAGCUGGAAAUAUUAAUGAUUUUUUAAAAAAGCAAAUAAGGAGUUCCCAUUGUGGCGCAAUGGUUAAGGAAUCCGACUAGGAACCAUGAGGUUGAGGGUUCGAUCCCUGGCCUUGCUCAGUGGGUUAAGGAUCCAGCGUUGCUGUGAGCUGUGGUGUAGGUCACAGACGUGGCUCGGAUGCCACGUUGCUGUGGCUCUGGCCUAGGCCGGUGGCUACAGCUCUGAUUGGACCCCUAGCCUGGGAACCUCCAUAUGCCAAGGGAGAGGCCCUAGAAAAGGCAAAAAGAAAAAAAAAAAAAAAAAGCAAAUUAAAGAAAAUGUACUUGGACAAAUCAAUCUUCCAGUAUCAUUUAGGUGGCAGACCAAGUUCUCUGGGGAAUUAAAAGCAACUGCCUUUGUCUUGCAAACCUCCACAAAUCAGGUACAGAAAUAGAGC